AUACCUUUCUCGGCCUUUUGGCUAAGAUCAAGUGUAGUAUCUUUUCUUAUCAGUUUAAUAUCUGAUACGUGGGCCAUUGGCUCACAUGAUAUUAAAUUAAUUUUUUCGUGGGAAGACCCGUCACGUUAGCUUGAUGUCGGGGUCUUCGAGUGUCGCCCUUGUGUUGUACUUCUGCUUGGUCCAGGCGCACCCAAU